rnacentral:rRNA from 1 species
GACGAACGCAGGCGGUGUGCUUAAGACAUGCAAGUCGUGCGGUCCCGCAAGGGACAGCGGCGGACGGGUGAGUAACACGUGGAUAACCUGCCUGACUCCCCGGGAUAACAGUUCGAAAGGGCUGCUAAUACCGGGUAAGCUCACGGAGUCGCAUGGCUCUGGGAGAAAAGGUCCUGCAAGGGACUGGGGUGAGAGGGGUCCGCGGUCCAUUAGCUAGUUGGAGGGGUAACGGCCCACCAAGGCGACGAUGGAUAGCCGGCCUGAGAGGGCGACCGGCCACACUGGGACUGAGACACGGCCCAGACUCCUACGGGAGGCAGCAGUCGGGAAUUUUGGGCAAUGGCCGAAAGGGCUGACCCAGCAACACCGCGUGAGUGAAGAAGGCCUUCGGGUUGUAAAGCUCUGUUACCCGUGAAGAACGGUACGUCGAGGAAAUGCGAUGUACUUGACGGUAGCGGGGGAGGAAGCUCCGGCUAACUACGUGCCAGCAGCCGCGGUAAUACGUAGGGAGCGAGCGUUGUCCGGAUUUAUUGGGCGUAAAGGGCGUGUAGGCGGCUUGUUAAGUCUGGAGUGAAAAUCCGGGGCUCAACCCCGGAACUGCUUCGGAUACCGAUGAGCUUGAGUACUCUAGAGGGCAGUGGAAUUCCCGGUGUAGCAGUGAAAUGCGUAGAGAUCGGGAGGAACACCAGUGGCGAAAGGCGACUGCCUGGGGAGAAACUGACGCUGAGGCGCGAAAGCUGGGGGAGCAAACGGGAUUAGAUACCCCGGUAGUCCCAGCCGUAAACGAUGAGUGCUAGUG